ensembl:misc_RNA Y_RNA Y RNA
GGCUGGUCCAAAGGUAGUGAGUUAUCUCAAUUGGCUGUUCACAAUUAUAGAUCAAACUCCUUGUUCUACUCUUUCCUCCCAUCUCACUACUGCAUGUGACUAAUCUUAA